UACGAAGGGGGCUAGCGUUGCUCGGAAUCACUGGGCGUAAAGCGCACGUAGGCGGGUCUUUAAGUCAGGGGUGAAAUCCUGGAGCUCAACUCCAGAACUGCCUUUGAUACUGAGGAUCUCGAGUCCGGGAGAGGUGAGUGGAACUCCGAGUGUAGAGGUGAAAUUCGUAGAUAUUCGGAGGAACACCGGUGGCGAAGGCGGCCACCUGGUCCGGCACUGACGCUGUAGCGCGAAAGCGUGGGGAGCAAACAGG
rnacentral:rRNA from 1 species